rnacentral:misc_RNA from 1 species
GAAAUGCGAUAUGUAAUGUGAAUUGCAGAAUUCAGUGAAUCAUCGAAUCUUUGAACGCACCUUGCGCUCCUUGGUAUUCCGAGGAGCAUGCCUGUUUGAGUGUCAUGGAAUUCUCAACUCUAUUUGCUUUUGUGAAUAGAGCUUGGAUUUGGAGGUUUAUUGCUGGUACUUGUGAUCGGCUCCUCUUGAAUGCAUUAGCUCGAACCUUUGCGGAUCAGCUAUCGGUGUGAUAAUUGUCUACGCCGUUGCAGUGAAGCAUAUCAAUGGGCUCGGCUUCCAAUCGUCCUUUACUGGACAAUGACUUUGACCUUUGACCUCAAAUCAGGUAGGAUUACCCGCUGAACUUAAGC